AACCACUUGCCUCAACAUUUGAGGAAGUGUUUCUUGUAUAUGGCAGCCUUCCCUCAAUAUUAUGACAUCCAUGCCUCUGAACUCAUCAAACUUUGGGCAGCUGAGGGCUUUUUGGAAUGUCACAACGAAUCUGAAAGAGUAGAAGUGGUGGCGGAAGAGUGCUUGGAGAAUUUGAUCAAGCAAACUCUAGUUUUGGUAACUAGACGGAAAAGGGAUGGUAAAAUUAAAAGUUGCAGGCUGCAUAGUAUGGUAUGGGACUUUUGUGUGAGACAGGCCGGGCAAGCGAAGUUCCUUCUUUCUGUUACGGACUACUUCCCUAAUCCUAUCUUGAGAAGGCAUUUUCUUCCACAAGUCCUUCAAAACCAUCGUCGCAUAAGUUUUAGUUGGCAUGAUCUUAAUCUUAAAGACUCCAUGCAUAGCUCAUGCACCAAUUCUAUUAUAUGCAUCCCACAGAGAGGGUAUAGGCCCAAAGGCUCUGUACAAAACUUUACUUCACUUAGGGUCCUUCAUGUUUUACGUAGAAAUGACUGUUCAUAUUGGGAACUAGGUCAAGUGUUUGAAUUGAUUGAUCUCACGUACCUUGCUUCCAAUAUUCCUAAUAGUAUUGUCCCUCCAGUUAUAGCAAAGCUUCAGAAUCUGCAGACCUUAAUUAUUUACAGAUCUGAUGUUCGUUUGCCAGUGGAGAUUUGGAGUCUGAGUCGGUUGAGACAUCUUAUCGCCUUCUCCUUUCAUCCUUUACUUCUUCCUGAAGGAGUAACUCAUUCUCUAAAUAGCUUACAAACGCUUUCUGUGGCAACAAACUUUGUAUGUAGUGAAAGGAUGGUGGAUAUGAUCCCAAACAUCAAAAAGUUGGGAAUAUGCUACUCUGAAGAGAAAUUUAGUGCAGGCUAUUAUCUUGGCAAUCUUGAACAUUUGCUUCGACUUGAGAAGUUGAAAUUAAAGAUGCAGAGUUCAUCUGUGCCGCAUCUCUACGGUCUUACUUUUCCCUUAUUGAUGAAAAAGUUAGAAUUGAGUGGCAGAUGGAUUUCUUGGAAAGAUAUGACAAUUGUUGGUUCGUUGCCAAAUCUUCAAGUGUUGAAACUAAAGAACUAUGCUUGCUUUGGGGAACAAUGGGAAACCAUUGAUGAGGGAUUUGGUAAUUUGAUACAUCUGCUUAUUGAUGAAUCAAAUCUGAAGUAUUGGACAACUGAUAGUAGCCAUUUUCCGAGGCUCCAGUGCCUAACACUUCAUCGUUGUCCAUACUUGGAUGAGAUUCCAUAUGAUAUUGGAGAGAUUCCAACACUUCAACUGAUUGAGGUUGAUGAUCAUAGCCAAUCUCUUUUGGACUCGGCAAAAAAAAUACAAGAGGAACAAUGGGAAUACGGAAAUGAAGACCUAAAAGUUCAUGUUAAGCGGUCCUGAUCAUCUUUCAAACCUGACUGUGUGCUUCUUAUCAGAUGCAGAGCUUUGAUGAGGCGGCUUAGCAGAUAUUAUACUGAUGAAAGAGGCAGAGAAAUAAAGCGACAGAGCUAUUCCAUCUUCCAAUAUUGACUUGCAUUUCGCUCACUGUCGGAUCGGGAUGUAUGGGCCCUUAGGGUUGGGUUUCAACCUUUUUUGUACGAGAGAUAUGUAAUUGCAACCUCUAACCAAUAAUUAGAUCAUGUUUAUCGGCGGAGGUGAUUGGCCUCCACCUCACUUUGCAAUUGAAAAAAAAAAAGAAUUGAAAUGGUGGUUUGUCUCU